GUGGCUUGGGGGCAUUUGAAAUAUUAGCUUUAGGAGGAGGAGGUGGAGGUGGUGGUGGUGUCGAAGGUGGGCCAACACGAAUAGAACCAGAAUGAGAUGUAGGUGGAGGCGGGGGUGGUGGUGGUGCACAUUUAGCAGCAGGAAUUCUUGUGGGAGGAGGAGGAGGUGGAGGUGGAGGUGGUUGCGCCUGACGCUUAUUUCCUGUGCUCCCAAACGACGGAGGCGGUGGUGGCGGUGGCGGUGGUGCUGAGGGCGAAGGAAUGCUUCUUGAAGAAGGAGGCGGAGGAGGAGGAGGAGGAGGACGUGGUGGUGGUGGUUGAGCUAAUGGCGGAGGGAUGCUUCUAGAUGGCAGUGGCGGGGGAGGAGGAGGUGGUGGUGGAGGAGUUUUAUUGAUAGGUUGAUGCAAUGUUGUCAAAGGAUCUCUAUUGCUGAAACUAGGGAGAGGUGGUGGUGGGGGUGGCUGUGAGGGUGAGAAUGAAGUUGUGCUCGUAAAAAGAGGGGGAGGAGGUGGCGGUGGGGGUGGCUGUGAGGGUGAGAAUGAAGUUGUGCUCAUAAAAAGAGGGGGAGGAGGUGGCGGUGGGGGUGGCUGUGAGGGUGAGAAUGAAGUUGUGCUCGUAAAAAGAGGGGGAGGAGGUGGCGGUGGCGGUGGAGGCAGAAGUGUGACAUGAUCACCAGAAGAUGGUGGAUCUGAUGGAAGAUUCAAAGGGUUGUCGACACUGUCUUUCGCUGG
rnacentral:lncRNA from 1 species